GAUGAAGAACGUAGUGAAAUGCGAUAAGUAGUGUGAAUUGCAGAAUUCAGUGAAUCAUCGAAUCUUUGAACGCACAUUGCGCCCUUUGGUAUUCCAAAGGGCAUGCCUGUUCGAGCGUCAUUUGUACCCUCAAGCUUUGCUUGGUGUUGGGCGUCUUGUCUCUAGCUUUGCUGGAGACUCGCCUUAAAGUAAUUGGCAGCCGGCCUACUGGUUUCGGAGCGCAGCACAAGUCGCACUCUCUAUCAGCAAAGGUCUAGCAUCCAUUAAGCCUUUUUUUCAACUUUUGACCUCGGAUCAGGUAGGGAUACCCGCUGAACUUAAGCAAAUCAAUAAGCGGAGGA
rnacentral:misc_RNA from 1 species